GUUUUAAGCCAGCAGGUGGCAUCCGCACUGCCAAGGAUUCCCUGGCUUGGCUGUCUCUUGUCAAGGAGGAACUGGGGGAUGAGUGGCUGAAGCCAGAACUCUUUCGAAUAGGUGCCAGCACUCUGCUUUCGGACAUCGAGAGGCAGAUUUACCACCAUGUGACUGGACGAUACGCGGCUUAUCAUGAUCUUCCAAUGUCUUAAAUUAGCAGCCAGUUCCAAAAAUGCCCUUUGUAACAACGUUUAAAAAUUAUUUCUCUACAUGACUGCUAAGAUUAUUUAAUUUAAAAAGAGGGGAAUAGGUAACUGACAUUUUCUUCCUUAAAACUGCCAUUGAACUUAAAGAAUGAAAGAAAACUUAAGCUAAUCCACAUGUGCUACCCAUUUCAGGCACAUCUGGAAUGGUCUUGAUUAGGACAGCUACACUAUUAACAUAGUGAAGGUUUUUCAAAAAAACUGAGUAAAAUGUUAAUGGCAACUUUGACAACAUCAAAUUCUAAGGGGGAAAAAUGUUAGGCUGCCCACAUAGCGUGUCGUAGCAGAAGAAAAUGAAACAUCCGUGAACUGCUCCUCUAAUGACUUCAGGAGUCACUGAUUCAGCACUAAUUUCCCACCAUGAAAAUUCAUCUUUUAUUUUUGCAAUGGAUAUGUUCUUCUAUUAAUUGUUUUGCUAAUGAAACUUCCAACUUUGUUACAUGAAACUUUGAGUAUCAUUGGAAUGUUUAAAAUAAAAAAAGUCCUUGUGGUUGUUUAUAUUUAAAAAAA